rfam:Desulfotomaculum kuznetsovii DSM 6115, complete genome.
CUUUCCGGAGGGCAAACCCGGCGAAAGCCGGGGACGCAAAGCCACAGGUCUAAAGUUCCCCGCGGGGAACCAUGACGGCUGGGUUGCAAGG